CAACUUUUAACAACGGAUCUCUUGGCUCUCGCAUCGAUGAAGAACGCAGCGAAAUGCGAUAAGUAAUGUGAAUUGCAGAAUUCAGUGAAUCAUCGAAUCUUUGAACGCACCUUGCGCCCUCUGGUAUUCCGGAGGGCAUGCCUGUUUGAGUGUCAU
rnacentral:rRNA from 1 species